rnacentral:rRNA from 1 species
AUGCGCCGAGCUCGCUCCUCACAUAAUUACCAUGGGAAGCGCAUGGGAGCAAUUGAUGCUGUCAAUGAAUGGAGAUUGCCUAAAGUAAGUGAAGAGGCAGAUGAGGCAGUGGAUCAGAAGGACUGGCAGGAUGAUGCUAUGUCAUCUCGUGUAUCCUCAGCUCGUGAUUGGAACUUCGAGUCGGAUAGUGCCUAUGAGGGAAGCAAUCAUGAUGGUCGUGCUUUUGACCAUACAGAGGUCGAGGAUUGUGCAGCUGCAGUGCAAAGGAUGGAGAGACGGCUGCGGUGCCCUGCAAGGAAACAUGAGGAAAAUGCUGUCCACGCCAAGUUGGUUGCCUGGAAGGAUGCACAGAUUGCAAAGCUCAUAGAAAAGUUGAAUCAGAAAGAAGCCCAGAUCGAUAAAUGGCAGAAGAAUAAGAUUGCACAGGCCAGGCAUAAACUGACAAAAACUGAGAAGAAGUUGGAGAAGCAGAGAGCUGAAGCCGUAGUGAAGAUGCAAAAGGCGAUAGAAGAUGCAGAGAGGAGAGCUGAUAAGAAGAGAGUCAAGAAGCAGGCAGCCACCAACAGCCGGAUAGAUGGUGUCAAGAGAGCCCUGGAGGAGAUGUCUAGGACAGGAAGGCUGCCCUGGGCACUUGCUUUUCUGUGA